rnacentral:rRNA from 1 species
GACGAACCGUGCGAACGUUAUUCGGAAUCACUGGGCUUAAAGCGCGUGUAGGCGGGCCGGCGCGUCGGUCGCUGAAAUCCCCGGCUCAACCGGGAAGGGCACCGAUACGGCCGGCCUGGAGGGGGGGUAGGGGCGCGUGGAACUCGACGGUGGAGCGGUGAAAUGCGUUGAGAUCGUGAGGAACGCCCGCGGCGAAGCGAGCGCCUGGACCCUUCUGACGCUGAGGCGCGAAAGCCAGGGAGCAACGGGAU